GACAGAGGCCCCAAGCGUUAGGCGGAAUCACUGGGCUUAAAGCGUGUGUAGGCGGACGCCUAAGUGUCUUGUGAAAUCCCACGGCUCACCCGUGGAACGGCUGGGCAUACUGGCGAUCUUGGGCCAACUAGGGGCAACUGGAACAAGCGGUGGAGCGGUGAAAUGCGUAGAUAUCGCUUGGAACGCCGAAGGUGAAAACAGGUUGCUGGGGUUGUGCCGACGCUGAGACACGAAAGCCAGGGGAGCAAACGGG
rnacentral:rRNA from 1 species